AAUAUCGAUGCGCUGACGCUAUAUGAUGGAUGGCUAGGCUUGAAGGACGAUGAAGGGCGUGGCAAGCUGCGAUAAGCUUCGGGUAGGCGCAUGCAGCCUUAGAUCCGAAGAUACCCUAAUGGGACUUCCUACUAAAAAGCUUCGGCUUUUUAGUGCUUCCUUUUGGAAGCGUGAACCCUCCGGAGUGAAACAUCUGAGUAGGAGGAGGAAAAAAAAUCAAUUGAGAUUCCCUAAUUAGCGGCGAGCGAAACGGGAUCCAGCCCAAACUGAAUCUGCUAUGGUGACUUAGUAGAGAUGUGGUGUUGUUGUUAACUUUGAGUACUUUAUUAAAUUAGUCGAAAUAAUCUGGAACGAUUUGAUGUAGAGGGUGAUAUCCCCGUAGACUAAUGACGUAAAGACUUUGUUAUUAACUAGAGUACCUGGCCUUGACAAUGGCUAGGGAAGAUGGGGGAAAACAGCCUCCAAGGCUAAAUACCUUUCAAGACCGAUAGUGCAAUAGUACUGUGAAGGAAAGCUGAAAAGUACCCCGGAAGGGGUGUGAAAAGAGUCUGAAAUCAUAUAGUUACAGACGUUCGUUGCCCGAAAGUGGUCAAAUAUUUCUACUUGAUCUCGCAAGAGUGAUAGAAGAAAUUAGAGCCACAGGGUAACGCGUUCCGUCUAGAAACACGGGCCAGGGAGUUUACUUUUACGGCGAGCUUAAGGGUUUAAAGCCCGAAGGCAUAGGGAAACCGAUUUUUUGUAGUUAUUUUAUAGUAAUGAGAAAAAGGGUCUGAAAGGGCCUUUAGUCGUAAGGGUCAGACUAGAAUCCGGACGAUCGUGUCCUGAGCAGGGUGAAGCCAUGCGAAAGCGUGGUGGAGGCCCGAAGGGGUGCUGACGUGCAAAUCGCUCCUCUGACUUAGGACAAGGGGCCAAAAGCCAAUCUAGUCCGGUGAUAGCUAGUUCCCAUCGAAGUGGAUCGUAGUCCAGAUUGGGUGGAUGUUGCUAACGCUGUAGAGCACUGAUGAGUGAACAAGGGGCCGAAAGGCUUCACUCACUUUUCAAACUCCGAAGGUGUUAGCGCAGUAGAAGCCUGAAUACGGGUUUAUGUGGGGUAAGCCUCAUAACCGAGAGGGGGACAACCCAGACUAGAGUUAACGCCCCGGAAUAUUGGCUAAGUGUCAAACUAAAGAGUGUCAUCGAGCCAAGACAGCAGGAAGGUAGGCUCAGAAGCAGCCAUUCUAUAAUGAGUGCGUAACAGCUCACCUGCCGAGCUUAAUGGCCUCGAAAAUGGACGGGGCUAAAGCCAAUUGCCGAUACUCUAGGCCACCAUGUAUAAUGGUGUGUGGUAGAUGGGCGUGAAAGUUGGGUGGAAGUAGGGCUGUGAAGUCCUAUGGACCGACUUUUAUUGCAGAUCCUGGUGGUAGUAACAGCGUAGCUGGGUGAGAAUCCCAGCCAUCGAAAGAGCAAGGGUUUCCUGGCAACGCGUCGUCGACCAGGAGUAAGACGAUCCUAAGUGUAGUCCCAAAGGAGCUACACGAAUUGGAAAACCGGUUAAUAUUCCGGUUCCUUUAAUCUUUUGUGUGCGUAAGCACAGAUCUAUUUUGGUUUGCUUUCGGAUAGGGUGAGCAGAGUUUUCGCUCUGUUUAACCUCUCAAGCCUGCGGGAGUGUCUUAAUGACGAGAACUCAGGCGAGAAGGGAAUAGCUUGCUUUUAGCGAGUUCAUCUGAUUCCAAGGGACCAUGAAACCCAAACUAGUGAAAUAGUUUAAAGUUCGUACCGAGAUCCAACACAGGUGCUCUAAGUGAGAAGCUUAAGAUGUAUCGGGUAUAAAGCGGGCAAGGGAACUCGGCAAAUUAGCACCGUAACUUAGGGAUAAGGUGUGCCUGCGAUAUUAGCGAGGAGCUAGAAUUGCAGGUUGCAAUAACAAGGGGGUCCCGACUGUUUAAUAAAAACACAGGAAGCUGCUAGCCUGAAAAGGUGCGUACAGCUUUUGAAUUCUGGCCAGUGACGGUACCUAAAACCUGGGUUCAACCGGGCUAAGGGCCGUUUAACGCCGGGAGUAACUCUGACUCUCUUAAGGUAGCCAAAUGCCUUGUCGGGUGAGUUCCGACGUGCAUGAAUGGACCAACGAGGGCCCCGCUGUCCCUGUCCGCGACCCGGUGAACCUACAGCGUGGACGAACAGUCCACGGACUUCAGUCGGGAAGAGAAGACCCUGUGGAGCUUUACUGCAGCUUGUGGUUGUGAUGUAAGUAUGGUUGCAGAGAGUAGCUGGUAGCCGUUAUGCGCAUGCUUUCGGGUGUGUGAUAGGCAAAAGUGUAACACCAGCCAUCUAUAAUUAUUUCGCUAACCUCUUCGGAGGGACACCUGCAGGUGGGCAGUUUGGCUGGGGCGGCACCCCCUUGAAAAGAUAUCGAGGGGGCCCAAAGGUCGGCUCAGGUGGUUCAGAACUCCACCGUUGAGGGCAAGGCUAAAUGCCGGCUUGACUGGAUCUUUAACAGAAGAAGAUUCAGGGGCGAAAGCCUGGCCUAGCGAUCCUCCAGAUCCUCACUGUUGGGGGUUGGAGGUGACAGAAAAGUUACCCCAGGGAUAACAGGCUUGUCGCGGGCGAGAGCUCUAAUCGACCCCGCGGAUUGGUACCUCGAUGUCGGCUCUUCCCAUCCUGGUCCUGCAGCAGGGGCCAAGGGUGGGGCUGCUCGCCCAUUAAAGGGGAACGUGAGCUGGGUUUAGACCGUCGUGAGACAGGUCGGUCUCUAUCUGACUGAAGCGGAGGUUGUUUGAGGGGAAGUUGUUCUCAGUACGAGAGGAACAGGGCAACGUAGCCUCUGGCGUACCGGUUGUCUGAUAAGGCAUGCGCCGGGCAGCUAAGCUGUUGAGGAUAAGAGCUGAAAGCAUCUAAGCUCGAAGCCUCUCCUAAGAAAAAACAACCAUCUAUAAUAUUUUCUCUUUAGGGGGUUAAUAUAUAGACGAGAGCUGGGGAAGAAGACCCCGUUGAUGGUAUGGGAGUGUAAGUUGGAAGGUUUCGACCGACCAAUUCAGCUCGCCAUUUCCAAUAGCUCAAGGCAUCGACGUA
rnacentral:ncRNA from 22 species